rfam:Triticum aestivum genome assembly, contig: Triticum_aestivum_CS42_TGACv1_scaffold_405912_5BL
GUACUACUCCCUUCGUCCGGAAAUACUUGUCAUCAAAAUAAAUAAAAGGGGAUGUAUUUAGUUCUAAAUACAUUUCCUUUUAUUUAUUUUGAUGACAAAUAUUUUCGGACGGAGGGAGUACUAC